rnacentral:rRNA from 1 species
CUUUGGUUCUAUUUUGUUGGUUUUCAGGACCGAAGUAAUGAUUAAUAGGGACAGUUGGGGGCAUUAGUAUUUAGUCGUCAGAGGUGAAAUUCUUGGAUUGACUAAAGACUAACUUCUGCGAAAGCAUUUGCCAAGGAUGUUUUCAUUAAUCAAGAACGAAAGUUAGGGGAUCGAAGACGAUCAGAUACCGUCGUAGUCUUAACCAUAAACUAUGCCGACUAGGGAUCAGACAGCGUUUAUUAAUGACCUGUUUGGCACCUUAUGAGAAAUCAAAGUUUUUAGGUUCCGGGGGGAGUAUGGUCGCAAGGCUGAAACUUAAAGGAAUUGACGGAAGGGCACCACCAGGAGUGGAGCCUGCGGCUUAAUUUGACUCAACACGGGGAAACUCAC